GACGAACGCUGGCGGCGUGCCUAAUACAUGCAAGUAGAACGCAGUUGCGAACGGGUGAGUAACGCGUAGGUAACUGCCUCAUAGCGGGGGAUAACUAUUGGAAACGAUAGCUAAUACCGCAUACUGUGAGACGGACCUGCUUUGUAUUAGCUAGUUGGUGAGGUAAAGGCUCACCAAGGCGACGAUACAUAGCCGACCGGAGAGGGUGGUCGGCCAAACCGGGACCGGGACACGGGCCAGAAUCCCAAGGGGGGCAGCAGUAGGGAAACUUCGGCAAUGGGCGGAAGUCUGACCGAGCAACGCCGCGUGAGAGAAAAAGGUUGUCGGGGCGUAAAGCUCUUUUGUUAGAGAAGCGGUAACUACCCAGAAAGGGACGGCUAACUACGUGCCAGCCGCCGCGGUAAUAC
rnacentral:rRNA from 1 species